AAGAGUAUCUCAGGUACGGUAAACCGCUCAUUAUUCAUCCUCAGGGUCUAAAUAAAAGACACAAGGACAAAAAAGACAUAAAAGACUUGCUAUGAGUACUCUAUACGACAAGAUAUUCACAGACCUCUUUCCUAGCUUGCCCGCUUUUCCCACUUUACCUUCAAAUUUUUUCUUCCUUACCCACUGCAACUUCUAUCACUUUAUGAGUUGUUAAGGACCAACCAAUCAACGUUGUAUCAUGGAUAUCAAAGGAGAAAAUGCAUGUUUUUGCAGUGAGACGCGCGGUACCGUUGCCACCUUGACAGUUAGUGAAGUAAACCAAUUUUAAAAUAAUUGAGAAUGCGAGAAACGUAUAUCUGAUUGACAUAAACUAGAAGUUAUGUUGGGGCACCACAUGUCCUCAUCUUGUCAAUCAAAGGUGUGAUAUCCUCCUUAAAUAUGUACAUACUGGCGGCAUCGAUAGGGCGUGCCGCAUUAUAAACAAACCACGUUUGAAAGCAGAGUAUUUUAACGUGCGCUCCACAACCUGUGUGGUUUGCAAAUGUAUUCUAGGUAUAGAGAUGAAAGGGUCUACCUGAAAACAGACAGAUUACUGGGGUACCCACCUGUUCCGUAUCAUUUUUCUUUGUCUUACUUAAUCACAUGUAUGUAUGCAUAUAGUUGCAGAGAUGGAGUGUCUAGAACGUCUGUGGCCCAGGUUUGAAUCCUGCCUUGAUUCCAAUUUGUGUAACAAUUGAAAAAGCUGAAAGCUAUUUGAUACUGGAGGUCUUGUCUCUUCAAGCUGCAUUACACUAACUUGAACGAUGUAAAACAAACCACAACGCAAUAAACCCUAUGCCUGAGACCACCCACAGUGAAAUUGCUUACUAACAAUACACACAUGGAGGCACUUGGUUUAGAGCCUCACCCUACUAUUUGUACCAGUAAAACAAAAAAAUACCAAGUUUUAUAGUCUAUGGCCAAUAGCCUAGCUAACAAUUGUAACAGUACCUGAUUGAUCACAUAAGUUUCAUCUAGAACAAUAUGUACUGUAGCUGUCUUGUUUGCAAAUGUAUUCUAGGUAUAGAGAUGAAAGGGUCUACCUGAAAACAGACAGAUUACUGGAGGGGUACUCACCUGUUCCGUAUCAUUUUUCUUAGUCUCGCCGGUGUCUUGCUCAGUCUGAAACAAGCAAUUUAAGAAACUGGAAGUUGCCUCUGCAGAAUCACAUUGUCAAUAUAACCUACCAAAACAAAGA